AAGAGACAGCAGCAGCCACGGGAAUACAGAGGGUGCGAGCGUUAAUCGGAUUUACUGGGCGUAAAGCGUGCGUAGGCGGCUUUUUAAGUCGGAUGUGAAAUCCCUGAGCUUAACUUAGGAAUUGCAUUCGAUACUGGGAAGCUAGAGUAUGGGAGAGGAUGGUAGAAUUCCAGGUGUAGCGGUAAAAUGCGUAGAGAUCUGGAGGAAUACCGAUGGCGAAGGCAGCCAUCUGGCCUAAUACUGACGCUGAGGUACGAAAGCAUGGGGAGCAAACAGGAUUAGAGACCCGGGUAGUCCCUGUCUCUUAUAC
rnacentral:rRNA from 1 species